ensembl:ncRNA mir-4951 mir-4951 stem loop
UUUUCGUACGUACAAAAAAGCAUCAGGUUUUCGGGUGAGGUUUCUGAUGCUUUGUCUCUUAAGUUUUUCCUAACAAUUAAACCCUAUGUCGGUAUUACGAAUACCAUCAAAAAACCUCACCCACCAAAUGUAUGACCAGAGAGAUAAAAA